AGAAUGAACGCUGGCGGCGUGCUUUACACAUGCAAGUUGAGCGAGGCCGGUAGCAAUACCGAGUCGAGCGGCGAACGGGUGAGUAACGCGUGGAUAACCUGCCCUGAGGUGGGGAAUAACCCGGGGAAACUCGGGCUAAUACCGCAUGAUACCUAGCGGUCAAAGAGGCUCGUAAGGGCUCUUGCCACAGGAGGGUCCGCGUUCGAUUAGCUUAGGUUGGUAGGGUAAUGGCCUACCGAAGGCGACGAUCGAUAGCCGGCCUGAGAGGGUGAGUCGGACCGACGACUGGAACUGAGACACGGUCCAGACCUCCUACGGGAGGCCGAAGCCAGUGGGAAUUUGCGUCAA
rnacentral:rRNA from 1 species